CCUGCCCUUCAGAUGGGGACAACAGCUGGAAACGGCUGCUAAUACCGAAUACGGCCGCAUGACGAAAGGAGGCCUUCGGGCUUUCGCUGGAGGAGGGGCUUGCGUCUGAUUAGCUGGUUGGAGGGGUAACGGCCCACCAAGGCGACGAUCAGUAGCCGGUCUGAGAGGAUGAACGGCCACAUUGGGACUGAGACACGGCCCAGACUCCUACGGGAGGCAGCAGUGGGGAAUCUUCCGCAAUGGACGAAAGUCUGACGGAGCAACGCCGCGUGAACGAUGACGGCCUUCGGGUUGUAAAGUUCUGUUAUAUGGGACGAAAGGAAUGGAUAAUACCCGGUGUCUUUGACGGUACCGUAAGAGAAAGCCACGGCUAACUACGUGCCAGCAGCCGCGGUAAUACGUAGGUGGCAAGCGUUGUCCGGAAUAUUGGGCGUAAGGGCGCGCAGGCAGCAUCGCAAGUCGGUCUUAUAAGUGCGGGGCUUAA
rnacentral:rRNA from 1 species